AAAAAAAAGUUGUGAGGGCUUUGGAAGUAUGUUACUAAGAUACCAGAAGAAGAAAAAAUAUUGAGCCUGGCUGGAUCUUGUGCCUCUUUAGCCAACACUUACCCCACGGUUUGUUUCGUCUAGAUUCGUGCCUUACACAAAAUAGCGUGGAAAGCAAUUUCUGAACCAAGCUUAGCUAGUUGAGGCUAGAAGGAUCGGUACUAAUUUAUCGCUAUAGGAAGGCAACAAAGGGAAAGAGACAAAAGAAGUCCAAAAAUAAUAUAACCCCUGCUCUUGACAGGAAGGUGCCUCUGCUGCCCAGUGCGCGUUCGAUAUCCCUUUCAUUUCUCUUUUUGCUUUUUCUCCACCGAAACUCCAUCUUCUUUACAGUGUAAGAAAAAGAUCCGUAAGAAAAUCCAGGAAACUUACCGGUACGAGUUCUUGACCUAAAGCAACCGGCAAAAAUUCGAAGUCAGUGGAAUAAAAAGAAAGAAAAGGGCUUUGGAAGUUGGUUACUAAGAUACCAGAAGAAUAAACAGAUAUUGGGUUUGCACUUAGUGCUCAAUUAAG